rnacentral:lncRNA from 1 species
UAACCUUCUCAAAUACCUAUAGCAAUAGUUGAAAUUCAAAUUACAACUAAACUGUAAAUUUAAAUGCAAAGCAACAUAAAAAACUUAAUUAUAAAUCAAAUUCAACUUUUAAAUAUAAAACACAAAUUUAAAAUAAAACUUUCAGUUCAAAUUCAAAAUUUUAAUUUAAAUCAAAAAUUAAAAUUUGACUUUCAGAUUAAAACUACAAUAUAGAUUCAAAAUUUAAAAUUUUAAUAUAAUUUUUGAAAUUAAAAUUUUACAUUACAAUACGAACUUCAAAAAUUAAAUUUAAAUUUAAUAUUUUUUUGAGUUGGAUAAUUAACAAAUUGGGUAUUAUCUAAUUUGGUAAGUAACAAAAUUAAAUAAAAUAUUUAAUAUUAUAGGAUGCUAACAAAUUUGGCAUAUACUACUAAUUUUUUUUCAAUAAUAUCAUAUUAACUAAUUCAAUUCGAUAACAUGUUUAAUAGGUUACUUUAUGUAAAAUCCAACUAUACCCUUUACUAAUUAAAAGUUUGAUUUUAAUACUUAUGGUGUAUUGAAGUAUUGCUCUAAGGGCAUGUUUGGUUCAUCUAUUUUAGACUAUGGAAUCGGAAUGGAAUUCAUUGAUUCCGAUAGUUGCCGUUUGUUUUAUAGGAAUAAGAUUCCGAUUCUCAUUUCACUCCGGAAUGGGAAUGACCAAAUCCAUUUAUAAUUCAAUCCGACUUUGAAUCCCAGAAUGGCUGAUUCCAAAAUAAACUAUUCAAAAUCCUCUUUCACCAACACCGAUCUUCUCUCUCUUCAUCACUUUUUUCUUUCUUAAUCAAAACUCUCUCUCAAAUAUUUUAAAUUUUCAUUCCAAUUUCGAUUCCAAUAAUGAACCAAAUAUUUUGAAUGAUUCGUCAUUCCAUUUUCCAUUCCAAAACAAUCCAAUUCUAUUUUUCAUUUCUAUUCCAAUCAUGAACCAAACAUGCCCUAAAAGUUAUUGCCGGAUAACUUAAUUACCACUCCAUUCAAAGCAUUUGU